AGCGGUCAAAUCACGCUGAAACACCGGUUCUCGUUCGAUCACCGAAGUUAAGCAUCGUAGAGCCAGGUCAGUACUAU